rnacentral:rRNA from 1 species
UACGUAGGGUGCGAGCGUUAAUCGGAAUUACUGGGCGUAAAGCGUGCGUAGGCGGUUCGCUGUGUCCGAUGUGAAAGCCCCGGGCUUAACCUGGGAAUGGCAAUGGAGACUGCAAGGCUAGAGUUUGGCAGAGGGGGUAGAAUUCCACGUGUAGCAGUGAAAUGCGUAGAUAUGUGGAGGAACACCGAUGGCGAAGGCAGCCCCUGGGUCAAAAACUGACGCUCAUGCACGAAAGCGUGGGGAGCAAACAGG